AUCACUCAUUCAACUUCGUUUUCUGAUUUUCCUUCUUUCCAUUUUCAGUUCUGUGUUCGACCCAUCGAGCUCAAAUUUGUGCUGGGUUUAUCGAAUUUCUCCCUUCUUGCUCAAAUUCAAAGUUCAAAAUUGGGUCUUUGCGGUUUCGAUAGAAAACCGCUGAAAUGGCAAUUAAGGUUCUAAGAUUCUGUUUUCAUAUACAAAAAGCUAUCCCAACCUUUGUAACUUGCUGAUCACAAAUUUUUAUGCAGUACAAAGUCAACAAAACCUGUACGGAGUACCCACCAUUCACGUCGCAAGGCCAAAAGGGGUCAUCCAGACAAGUAGAUUGCUGCUAGUUUGUUCACACGACUCGUUUCUGGGAAUUAUUACGGGGUAUAUGUGAAGCUAUAUUUUGUUGUCGAUCAGAUGCAGCCCUUGUGUUGUUUAAAUCUUUUGCUUACAUGUUAGAAUCUGGCAUACCAACAAAGUAGACACUCAGAUACAUCUAGGAGGAGGGAGUUCAUGUAGUGUGGGCGGUCCUUGUCUUAAGCCCAUAAUUUAUAGUAUUAAUAUAAUUUCUUCAAGGUUCAAACUACCGUACGAGAUACACUGAAAAAGCAUGAACUGACAAGACCUCUUGCUACGAAAGAGUUGGAGUGGUUUGCGGCCUCUGCUUUGUUGGCACUUCCCAUCUUAAUUCUGUUCAGAGUUUUAUCCUCAAUUUUCUGGAUAUUGCUGGAAUUGGGUAUUUUGUCUUUACAUUUUUGCGCCAAUGAACUGUCUAUGUCAGAGGUUUUUUUAAUUUGUAAGGAGAGAUACAGAUGGCUUCCUUUUUGUCUGGCGAUUCUUCUAACUUUGCUGUGAGUUAAAGUAGUUGCUAUAGACAGACUGAGGAUAAAGAGGAAGGAGGCUCUUGGUACUUUUCCAGGAAGGAAAUUGAAGAAAAUUCUCCAUCUAAAGUAGAUGGCAUAGACUUAAAGAAAGAGGUGUACUACAAGAUUUGGGGAUGAGAAUUAAAGUGUGAGUUUUAAGCCUUAUAUAUAAACGAGCUAUAGCUGCCCGCCCGUUGCUGCGGGAGUUAUGGUUGCUAGUGAAUUGCUUAGAAAAGUAAAUGAUUGUAUACAAAAGAAUAUCAUUGAUUUUGUAUUGUUGGUUUGUACAUUUGGUUUGCUUUAAAUUGUUUGAUGGUGGUGCAAAAAUUUAGGUAAGAUAUUUGAUUUGAAAGGGUAUUGUGAAGAGAGAUACAAUAGAAUAUUCAUUUGGUGUUGCUGGUUCUUCGACUGCAAUUUCUCUUAAAGAAGAGCUUGUCUUACUCUGUCAA